rnacentral:rRNA from 1 species
GACGGACGCUGGCGGCGUGCUUAACACAUGCAAGUCGAGCGGUAAGGCCCUUUCGGGGGUACACGAGCGGCGAACAGGUGAGUAACACGUGGGUGACCUGCCCUUAGCUCUGGGAUAAGCCUGGGAAACUGGGUCUAAUACCGGAUAUGACUCCAUGACGCAUGUUGUGGGGUGGAAAGCCUUGUGCGGCUAGGGAUGGGCCCGCGGCCUAUCGGCUUGUUGGUGGGGUGANGGCCUACCAAGGCGACGACGGGUAGCCGGCCUGAGAGGGCGACCGGCCACACUGGGACUGAGACACGGCCCAGACUCCUACGGGAGGCAGCAGUGGGGAAUCUUGCGCAAUGGGCGAAAGCCUGACGCAGCGACGCCGCGUGGGGAUGACGGCCUGG